rnacentral:rRNA from 1 species
AGCGAACGCUGGCGGCAGGCUUAAUACGUGCAAGUCGAGCGCCUGUAGCAAUACAGGAGCGGCAGACGGGAGAGUAACACGUGGGAACGUGCCCUUCAGUUCGGAACAACCAAGGGAAACUUUGGCUAAUACCGGAUACGCCCUUACGGGGAAAGAUUUAUCGCUGAAGGAUCGGCCCGCGUCUGAUUAGCUAGUUGGUGGGGUAAUGGCCCACCAAGGCGACGAUCAGUAGCUGGUCUGAGAAGAUGAUCAGCCUCAUUGGGACUGAGACACGGCCCAAACUCCUACGGGAGGCAGCAGUAGGGAAUAUUGGACAAUGGGGGCAACCCUGAUCCAGCCAUGCCGCGUGAGUGAUGAAGGCCUUAGGGUUGUAAAGCUCUUUCGGCGGGGAAGAUAAUGACGGUACCCGCAUAAGAAGCCCCGGCUAACUUCGUGCCAGCAGCCGCAGUAA